UACGGAGGGAGCUAGCGUUGUUCGGAUCUACUGGGCGUAAAGCGCACGUAGGCGGCGCCGUAAGUCAGGGGUGAAAUCCCGGAGCUCAACUCCGGAACUGCCCUUGAAACUGCAGUGCUAGAAUCCUGGAGAGGCGAGUGGAAUUCCGAGUGUAGAGGUGAAAUUCGUAGAUAUUCGGAAGAACACCAGUGGCGAAGGCGACUCGCUGGACAGGUAUUGACGCUGAGGUGCGAAAGCGUGGGGAGCAAACAGG
rnacentral:rRNA from 1 species